CCUACGGGGGGCAGCAGUGAGGAAUAUUGGUCAAUGGGCGCGAGCCUGAACCAGCCAAGUCGCGUGAGGGAAGACGGUCCUAUGGAUUGUAAACCUCUUUUGUCGGGGAGCAAAAGACGCCACGCGUGGCGUUCCGAGAGUACCCGAAGAAAAAGCAUCGGCUAACUCCGUGCCAGCAGCCGCGGUAAUACGGAGGAUGCGAGCGUUAUCCGGAUUUAUUGGGUUUAAAGGGUGCGUAGGCGGACUGUCAAGUCAGCGGUAAAAUACGGGGGCUCAACCUCCGCCCGCCGUUGAAACUGACGGUC
rnacentral:rRNA from 1 species